GACGGAAGGUGCAAGCGUUUGCUCGGAAUCACUGGGCGUAAAGGGCGCGUAGGCGGGCUGGCAAGUCAGGGGUGAAAUCCUCCGGCUCAACCGGAGAACAGCCUUUGAUACUGCCAGUCUAGAGGAAGGUAGGGGCAUGUGGAACUCCGGUGGAGCGGUGAAAUGCGUAGAUAUCGUGGAGGAACACCGGUGGCGAAGGCGGCGUCCUGGACCAAUACUGACACUGAGUGAGCGAAAGCCAGGGGAGACAAACGGGG
rnacentral:rRNA from 1 species